GAUGAACGCUGGCGGCGUGCCUAACACAUGCAAGUCGAGCGAGGGUUUGCUCAGUAUUGAGUAUUCUAAAACUAGAAUGUUCAAUUCUGAGCAAAACCAAGCGGCGGACGGGUGAGUAACGCGUGGGUAACCUGCCCUAUACACAUGGAUAACAUACUGAAAAGUUUACUAAUACAUGAUAAUAUAUAUUUGCGGCAUCGCAGAUAUAUCAAAGUGUUAGCGGUAUAGGAUGGACCCGCGUCUGAUUAGCUAGUUGGUGAGAUAACGGCCCACCAAAGCGACGAUCAGUAGCCGGUCUGAGAGGAUGAACGGCCACAUUGGGGCUGAGACACGGCCCAGACUCCUACGGGAGGCAGCAGUGGGGAAUCUUCCACAAUGGGCGAAAGCCUGAUGGAGCAACGCCGCGUGAGUGAAGAAGGUCUUCGGAUCGUAAAGCUCUGUUGCACGGGACGAAAACCGGGUUUGAGAAUAUUGAACCCGGGUGACGGUACCGAGCGAGGAAGCCACGGCUAACUACGUGCCAGCAGCCGCGGUAAUACGUAGGUGGCGAGCGUUGUCCGGAAUUAUUGGGCGUAAAGGGAGCGCAGGCGGACAUAUAAGUCCAUCUUAAAAGUGCGGGGCUCAACCCCGUGAGGGGAUGGAAACUGUAUGCCUUGAGUGCAGGAGAGGAAAGCGGAAUUCCCAGUGUAGCGGUGAAAUGCGUAGAUAUUGGGAGGAACACCAGUGGCGAAGGCGGCUUUCUGGACUGUAACUGACGCUGAGGCUCGAAAGCCAGGGGAGCGAACGGG
rnacentral:rRNA from 1 species